rnacentral:rRNA from 1 species
GGACUACCCGGGUUUCUAAUCCUGUUUGCUCCCCACGCUUUCGCUCCUCAGUGUCAGGUAAGGCCCAGAGAACCGCCUUCGCCACCGGUGUUCCUCCCGAUAUCUGCGCAUUUCACCGCUACACCGGGAAUUCCAUUCUCCCCUACCUACCUCUAGUCCGCCCGUAUCCGCAGCAAGUCCAGGGUUAAGCCCUGGAUUUUCACAACAGACGUGGCGGACCACCUACGAGCUCUUUACGCCCAAUAAUUCCGGACAACGCUCGCGCCCUACGUGUUACCGCGGCUGCUGGCAC